rnacentral:rRNA from 1 species
CCUACGGGAGGCAGCAGUGGGGAAUAUUGGGCAAUGGGCGCAAGCCUGACCCAGCAACGCCGCGUGAAGGAAGAAGGCUUUCGGGUUGUAAACUUCUUUUCUCAGGGACGAAGCAAGUGACGGUACCUGAGGAAUAAGCCACGGCUAACUACGUGCCAGCAGCCGCGGUAAUACGUAGGUGGCAAGCGUUAUCCGGAUUUACUGGGUGUAAAGGGAGUGUAGGCGGGAAAGCAAGUCAGAUGUGAAAACCAUGGGCUCAACCUGUGGCCUGCAUUUGAAACUGUUUUUCUUGAGUACUGGAGAGGCAGACGGAAUUCCUAGUGUAGCGGUGAAAUGCGUAGAGAUUAGGAGGAACACCAGUGGCGAAGGCGGUCUGCUGGACAGCAACUGACGCUGAGGCGCGAAAGCGUGGGGAGCAAACAGGAUUAGAUACCCUGGUAGUC